rnacentral:tRNA from 1 species
GGGGACUUAGCUCAGUGGUACAGCGCCUGCCUGGCAAACAUGAAGUCCUGAGUUCAAUUCCCAAUAUCCCUC